AUACUUUCCUGGAAGGUGAGAAGCCAUGGUCACAAAGAUGGUUUCCUCAGGGUUCUGCUCAUCCAUUGCACUCCGGAUGUGCUGACCCCUGCAAUUUUCCCAAAUGUGGGAAAUUCAACUGCAUAAUUUCUGGCAGUGGGGGACUACAUUAGUACUCUCCCCUA